rnacentral:lncRNA from 1 species
AGCUAAGCGGGAGGGGAGAUGGGCGAAGCAAGCUGCAGGGUCUGGAGGGGAGAGAGAAUUUGUGCUGCUGCCCUCUGGGACGCUCUUGAUCUCUCCUACCCUGGACUCCAGCUACCCUUCUGAAGAGGACUUGGAGGAAAUUGACGCUUCCCUGAGGAAAAGUAUCCAAACAAAGGUUCCAGUUGAUCUUCUCGUCCAUAAAUGUCUAAGGAGUAACUCUAUGAACAGAUUAUCCCUGGCAAAUUGAAGUAUAGAAUUGAGGCCGAUGGGGUUCAGGACGUGCUACCUGAAAAUAUGGCACGUUGACAUUUGAGAAAACCUUGGAAACAGGAAGGUCUCUCUUACCUUCUCCUCUCUCUUCUCCCCUGAAGAAGGUC